rnacentral:pre_miRNA from 1 species
GAGACAACCUUAUGGGGCAAAACUUGCUUCAGUAGUGCUUUGGUGCUCACUGAGUCUGCCCCCUGAGUGUGUCCCU